UGGGGAAUUUUUCGCAAUGGGGGAAACCCUGACGAAGCAACGCCGCGUGGGGGAUGAAGGUCUUCGGAUCGUAAACCCCUGUCGACCGGGACGAAAGCAGUCUGACCCAAUACGUCGGGCUGUUGACUGUACCGGUGGAGGAAGCCACGGCUAACUCUGUGCCAGCAGCCGCGGUAAUACAGAGGUGGCAAGCGUUGUUCGGAAUUACUGGGCGUAAAGGGCGCGUAGGCGGCUGGGAAAGUUCUGUGUGAAAUCCCUCGGCUCAACUGAGGAACUGCACGGAAAACUGCCCGGCUUGAGUUCGGGAGAGGGAAGUGGAAUUCCGGGUGUAGCGGUGAAAUGCGUAGAUAUCCGGAGGAACACCGGUGGCGAAGGCGGCUUCCUGGACCGACACUGACGCUGAGGCGCGAAAGCUAGGGGAGCAAACGGGAUUAGAUACCCCGGUAGUCCUAGCUGUAAACGAUGAGCGCUGGGUGUGGGAGGUAUCAACCCCUCCGUGCCGAAGCUAACGCAUUAAGCGCUCCGCCG
rnacentral:rRNA from 1 species